GGAUUGUGGCUCAGCGGUAGAUCAUUUGUCUGGCACGUACGAGGCCCUGGGUUCAAUCCUCAGCACCA
rnacentral:tRNA from 1 species